UGUGAACAAAGUUUUUAUGCAUCAUUUCAGAAAAAAAAAUAUUAACUGUGUGUGUAUAUAUAUAUAUUACACAAGACUUCAAAAAUAAUUUUAGUGCAGCUAAUUUUCUGAAACACAAUACAAGAUUACGUGCAAUGCAUUUUUAAUGUGGACAAAUUAAAUACACUAGAGCGUGACUAUUGAGUUUCUUUUUGAAAUAUCCACAAGGUCAAAAGUGCCCAUAGUUGAAGUAACGCCUGAAUACCGAACGUCUUUUUCUUUUUACGAAUAAUAAUAUUUGUUCAGGAGCCUCCCAGUAGGUGAUCGCAGUGGGCCUGAGGGAAGAGGAAGCUCCUCUGGGAACAAGAGAACAGCACAUCACAUCUAUUAUUCAGCAAUGGGGUUUGAGAUGACGUGGGCCCAGAGCUUACGCUUCAUGGACUGCUGGGCUUCAUUCUGUUUGACCUCUGGUGUUCAGUGACUGACCCUGUGCUGUGCAGGCACUCACCCCUGGAGAGAUACAAUGCCUUGGCUGAAUUUCCCUUCAUCCGUCCAAUGGAGACCUGACCGGGCCGAACAAAAGCCACCUCGCUGAACUGAACUCGAGCGCUCGCAACAGAGAAUACAGAACAUGGCAUCUUUAAAAGAGCUUGUCUACAUCAAGUCCCCUAAUUGACACAGGGGUGAAAAGAACUGCCUAAUUGCAUGAUUUAGACUCACAAUACGCCCUGACAGAUGACACUAAUCACAGCGGGAAUUAUUAAGCCAUGUUUCUUGCUUAGACAGCAAAUGAGACACUAUAAAAGGUCACACAUAUUGGUCUUAUGAUACGAAUGCAGAAUGUGGUUAAAAUGGUGCAUACGCAGCAGGGGUCAUGUGUGUGAGUGUAUACUUACUCAUUAAAAUGCAUUCAGCACAGCUCAGCAUCGCAGAGUCAAUAUUAAACUAUGUUUAAUGCGGUCCUUUGCACCUGCGAUGUCCCAAAAGACUAUAAUGAGACACAACUAACAAAGAUUGAUUGGACAUAAGUAUGAUUGUUAGUAUAAAGACAAUCACUGAAAGUAUUUUAUUUUAUUUUUGCUAAUGGUUAGCAAGUUGUAACUGAGUGCCAGGCGUUUUUUUUUUUUCUAAAUAUGUAAUCGUACAACUAAAAUCAAGUAGUCAAACAUACAGCUUGUAAGCUGUUUGUUCGUUUCAGCAGCGGUUGUCGAGUUGACUGUGGUGUGUUGGUUGGUGUGGGUUUUGGUUGUUUUUGUGGUCAGUGGUGGAAAGUCAGAUUGUGACUUUUUUAUGUUUGUUGGGAUCACCUGAUUUUUUUUUUUUUACUUAGUAAUAUAUUAUAUUAAUCAAGAUUAAUAAUGAAAGAUCAAUAUUUUUUAGAGAGAGUUUGUUUU
ensembl:lncRNA